AUUGAACGCUGGCGGCAUGCCUUACACAUGCAAGUCGAACGGUAACGCGGGGCAACCUGGCGACGAGUGGCGAACGGGUGAGUAAUGCAUCGGAACGUGCCCGGUAGUGGGGGAUAGCCCGGCGAAAGCCGGAUUAAUACCGCAUACGACCUACGGGUGAAAGCGGGGGACCGUAAGGCCUCGCGCUAUUGGAGCGGCCGAUGUCAGAUUAGGUUGUUGGUGGGGUAAAAGCCUACCAAGCCGACGAUCUGUAGCUGGUCUGAGAGGACGACCAGCCACACUGGGACUGAGACACGGCCCAGACUCCUACGGGAGGCAGCAGUGGGGAAUUUUGGACAAUGGGGGCAACCCUGAUCCAGCCAUGCCGCGUGCGGGAAGAAGGCCUUCGGGUUGUAAACCGCUUUUGUCAGGGAAGAAACGCUCUGGGCUAAUACCCCGGGGUAAUGACGGUACCUGAAGAAUAAGCACCGGCUAACUACGUGCCAGCAGCCGCAGUAAAAC
rnacentral:rRNA from 1 species